rnacentral:rRNA from 1 species
GGAGGCCCGAACCCACGUAUGUUGAAAAAUGCGGGGAUGAGGUGUGGGUAGCGGUGAAAUUCCAAUCGAACCUGGAGAUAGCUGGUUCUCUCCGAAAUAGCUUUAGGGCUAGCCUCGGAUGAUGCAUGGUGGAGGUAGAGCGACUGUUUGGACGAGGGCCCCUUACCGGGUUACCAAAUCUUGAUAAACUCCGAAUUUCAUCUGUUAUCAUCCAGGAGUCACACUGCGAGCGAUAAGGUUCGUAGUGGAAAGGGAAACAGCCCAGACCGUCGGCUAAGGCCCCCAAAUUCUUGUUAAGUGGAAAAGGAUGUGGGGCUGCAUAGACAACUAGGAUGUUGGCUUAGAAGCAG